rnacentral:rRNA from 1 species
CCUACGGGUGGGCAGCAGUGAGGAAUAUUGGUCAAUGGACGAGAGUCUGAACCAGCCAAGUAGCGUGAAGGAUGACUGCCCUAUGGGUUGUAAACUUCUUUUAUAUGGGAAUAAAAUGUUCCACGUGUGGGAUUUUGUAUGUACCAUAUGAAUAAGGAUCGGCUAACUCCGUGCCAGCAGCCGCGGUAAUACGGAGGAUCCGAGCGUUAUCCGGAUUUAUUGGGUUUAAAGGGAGCGUAGGUGGAUUGUUAAGUCAGUUGUGAAAGUUUGCGGCUCAACCGUAAAAUUGCAGUUAAAAUGGUGAGUCGUGAUGACAGGAGGGGGGGGCGAAUUCUGGG